UAGGGAAUCUUCCGCAAUGGGCGAAAGCCUGACGGAGCAACGCCGCGUGAGUGAUGAAGGUCUUCGGAUCGUAAAACUCUGUUAUUAGGGAAGAACAAAUGUGCAAGUAACUAUGCACGUCUUGACGGUACCUAAUCAGAAAGCCACGGCUAACUACGUGCCAGCAGCCGCGGUAAUACGUAGGUGGCAAGCGUUAUCCGGAAUUAUUGGGCGUAAAGCGCGCGUAGGCGGUUGUUUAAGUCUGAUGUGAAAGCCCACGGCUCAACCGUGGAGGGUCAUUGGAAACUGGAAUACUUGAGUGCAGAAGAGGAAAGUGGAAUUCCAUGUGUAGCGGUGAAAUGCGCAGAGAUAUGGAGGAACACCAGUGGCGAAGGCGACGUUCUGGUCUGUAACUGACGCUGAUGUGCGAAAGCGUGGGGAUCAAACAGG
rnacentral:rRNA from 1 species